rnacentral:lncRNA from 1 species
GCGGGUGCGGCGGCGGCAGCAGCAGCUCCGGACGCUGGCGGUGUAGACACCCCUGGGUCAGGACCCGGAYCCUGGACUGGCCGCCGGGCAGCUGUGGAACCCAGGGUUCUGAGCCUAAUGGUAGACGCCUACUCAGGGCCGGAAGCUUUGAGACCAGUGGCCCUCGGUGCUUGAGAAGAGAAGGACGCCUGAAAGGGAAGGAAAAGCCCUUGAGUCUUGCAACAUUUUGACUCUUGUCUGUAGCUUCAGGCAGGAAGUAAGAACAGUACUCAAGUGGCAGGAGAUCCUGGCUGCGACUUCAGUUUACAGCUUGACACGGCAGUGUAAUGGAAAGCAGUUUAGAUUUGACACCUUUUGGCAGCAGUUGAUCUCCAACCCUGUGGCCUUAGCAAAGCCUCAUGCUUUCUACAGACCUUUGCUCUUGGAAGAAGCAGGUUGGGUGUGUGAGCAGAGCUGGCGUCCAAACUGA